CACCUAGGCAAUGAUAGGUAGGCGGCCUUAACGGGUGGUCGCCCACACUGGGAUUGAGAUACGGCCCAGACUCCUACGGGAGGCAGCAGUCGAGAAUAGUCUACAAUGGUCGGAAGACUGAUAGUGCGACGCCGCGUGAACGAUGAAUCCCUUCGGGGUGUAAAGUUCUUUUAUAUGUGAGCAGUGCUUCUUAUAUUAACAGUAUGGGGAGAGAGAUAUUAGCAUAUGAAUAAGCAACGGCUAACUCCGUGCCAGCAGCCGCGGUAACACGGGGGUUGCGAGCGUUGUCCGGAAUUACUAGGCGUAAAGGGCAGGCAGGCGGAUCCAUAAGUUUAUCGUUUAAGGCGUCGGCUUAACCGGCGUAGGGCGGUAGAUACUGUGGAUCUGGAAUGCGGUUGGGGAAGACAGAAUUCCUGGUGUAGCGGUGGAAUGCGCAGAGAUCAGGAGGAAUACCGAAGGCGAAGGCAGUCUUCCAAGCCGUUAUUGACGCUCAACUGCGAAGGUGUGGGUAUCAAACAGGAUUAGAUACCCUGGUAGUCCACACAGUAAACGAUAAUCACUGGGUGUCGGGUUCGCAUAGGAUUCGGUGCCGUAGCUAACGCGUUA
rnacentral:rRNA from 1 species